GACUGCAAGUUGAGGGCUGAUGAACAGUACCUGAUGUAAAAGAAAUUGAGAGAAGUGUAGUCACUAAUCAAGCCACUUUCCUCAAAAUGAUGACACCUUUUCAGCCCGUGGUUAUAAAAUAAUCAGAAAUAUAAGCUACUUAAGGAAAACUUCAACAGUAAAACCCAUUCACUCAGAGUCUGGGUGAAUAAGCCUCAUGGCCGUGUACCACAAAAAGAAUAAAAAGAUAUCAAACUAAAAAUCCACAGGUGGCAAAGAAUGAUAAUUGCACUCUUGAAAUGUUUAUGAAAUGCCAGAAAUUAUUUUUCCUGUUAAAAAUCAGCAAAUUAACAGUGACCAGAUCAAACCUGCUUACCAUUCAACACGAGAGGUAGGGAGUGAAGAGGAAGAGUGCAGCAAGAGGUGACUGUGCUGACAAUACUUUUAAAAAAUUUAAAAAUACACUUUUCAUGUGAAUAUUUACUGUUUCUAAAAUGCUAGCCCAGAAGUAUCCUGCUUUAUUUUGGUUUUCUUUUGAAUAUACAGUCACUUUAUAUAAAUAGUACUUCUCCAUACCACCCUUACGUAGUCAUUUUUAUCGUCUCUUGGCAUCAUGUGUUCCAGGAUAUCUAACUCCCCAAAGGUUGUUAUUAUCCUAUAAUUUGUGACUUACAAAUGUGGGCUACAUUUUAGCUGCCAACUGCACAGGAGUAAUCUGUGGUUAUAGGUUCCAGCUGAAUAUUUCCAAGGCAUUUAUGUGUUGUGGUUGCAAUAGAAUGAUUUUUCAGAUCACUCGACAAAAUUGGGAAACUAUGAGGUAAUUUCCAAUAAACGAUUACCACAUAAUUCACUGAGUGAUUUGGGGAGAAGGGGGUGGAGAAAGCUGUUUUUUCUUGCUUAUUGUGUAUUCCUUACAUGAGCUCAAGGUAAACAUUGGUGGAAUAGCUAAAGGAGUAAGACCUGCAAUAGCCCUGAAAUACAAGGAAGAAAUAUGGAGAGAGUGCCAAUCAGGAAGGAGAAAUUAGAGUUAGGUUAGAAAUUGAAGUUUGAAAGGAUGCUGAGGAAAACAGAGAUGCAAUCUCAUAAUUAAGGUUCACUGGUGUUGUCAAGGUGUUGUUUCAGUCCUACUGAUGCAGAAGCUACUGUACUCGUCUUUCCUCACACGCCGUGGGAUUGCAGAAGCAAUGAAAACAGCCUACGUGGAGAUGAAAGAGAUAUCUAUUCCCACGGCAUCUAAGAGGAACUGACCUGAGUAGAUACAUGGGAAAUGUAAGAAGCACAAAGAGGAAAGAGAUGAGUAGAGGUUAAGGGCUGAGAUAGCCAAAGACGUGCUUUAGGAGCUGUGGACAGCUGUGUUGGUACCGUGGCAGCACAGUGGCUGCUGUCCUUGUGCUGCUGACAGAGGGGAAGCAACACCAGUGCCCAUUAAGCAGAUGACUGCAGGAGACAACGGGCAAUAAGUUAUCCAGCCAUGGAGGCACCCUCAAAGGAUCAUUUUUCAGGUCUUCUCCGUCUGAGACUGGUGGCACAGGUACUGGAAAAAAAUGGAGUUAUACUAAGGCUGAAUGGUCUGAAACUUGUGGCAUAAAAGACUCCCACCAAACACCCCUGUCAAUUGGAUCGAGGUUUUUUUUGACUGCUGUCUAUCAUUCCCUGCUACUCCAAAAACGAGACAGGCUCUGCCCAGAGAAAAACGGACUGCUAUUUGCAUCAAGCCAGCAGGAAUGUAACCACCAACAUAUUGAAAAGGUUUCGUAUGUAAAAUGCUCGGCUUUGAGGAGCAAAGCCUUAAGUCCUUAUAUAGUCUAAGAUGGUUCUGGAUUUGGCCAAAGUUCAGAAGCUUGCUUUCUGUCUGUACAAAUAAGCCCCUGGAAGUCCAGUCAAGACAUUCCUAAAACAGAGCUUCUUACAGUUUAAAAUUAAUAGUCAGUAGUAAGUCAUUAUGAUUUUAUGUAAUAAACCAGCUAUAAGGGUUUGCAGCCAGUUCUUAAACUUCCAGGAACUGUGCUGCGGGAUAUAGUGUUUCUAUAGAGAUCUUUUGUUGUGCCACAAAGUAGGUCUACAAAUGUACAGCAGGGUGUCCCCUCUUCUACAGUCUUUAUAUCUCUCUGCCAUGUAUUACAGCGGUGCCUCACGCAAAAAGCGCACAUCUUCCCAUAAUUGUGUUUUUCUAAAGAUGUCUUCGUGCCUUCCAAAAAGAUGGAGAGUAGAGAUAGAAAAAUAUGUUGAAAUUUUCCAUUUUCGGAGGAGUUACAAUUGCUGCUUUUGUUUCUCUAUACUGACAUUUGUAUUCUACACUUUUGCUCCUGCACAUACAGCUUCACUGUAUUUUAUAUUCAUAUUCUACUUUGAAUUAUAAAAAAAUCUUAAAUUUAGGAAUGAGGUUAUUAGAAAAUAUUAACGUAAUACCAUUCACUCAGAUUUAAAACAAAUAGCAAACCACUGUAACAUAUUGAAAUGGAAAUAGGUUUUUAAAUAUUUUUUUACAUUAAGAAUCUUUUGCUGGAAGCUUAGGGAACUGGGAGAGUCUCACAGGCCAAGUUAAUUUCUUUAAAAAGCAAAGAAAAUUGGAAGGAAAAUCAUGUAUGGAGCAAGAUUAUUGAUAUACAACAAAUUUAUAAUGAGCUAUUACUUAAAACUGCUAAAACAAAUAGGAAAAGCCAUGAGAAUGCUCCUUCAAAUGAGUAAACUUCUUUAUUCAAAUUAUUUUAAUGGAUUUCUGUAGACUUUAUGUGUACUCUUCUGUGUUAAAUUAAAAGAAACUGUAAAAAAUAAUUCUGCUGGAGAGAAUUGUUUAAAGAAACAGUGUAAUUUCCAUUGAAACUGCAAAACACUUCGAAAUCAAAGUCAUGCAUUGGAAAUCUGGCUCAAAGGGUUAAAUGAAUUGUGAAUAAGACCACAUUUUUACUCUGACUUCUUUGUCCAGACGCUGUUAACCAAAACAGUGAGGUCUUUAAAUGAGUGACUUAAAACACCCUUAUCACUUUCUACAGAUCAAGAAUUUUUCUGCAAAUUAUAAGAAAAAGAAAAAAAAAUAGAUUCCAGAACUUCAGAACAAUGCCAGAGCAAAUUAAAGAUUUCGAAUCCAUCCAAAGAGUAUUAGCUUUUAAUUUUUUUUUCCAACAAUACUGAGGAAUAUUGUUUCUGUAAAAAAAAAAAAAAAAAAAAAAGUUUCCAAAUUGCUGAAUAAAAGGAGCUGAUCUCGCAACAUGUUUGUUGAGAAACCAUUAACGUGCUUCCCUGUUUAAGAGCAGCUGGCACAUCAUAGAAGACUUUUAUGAACAUUCUCAUUUUAAUUAAUCCCUUGGGGUUCUCCAUUGACCUCAGGACAGUUACACAAGGAUGAGAUUUGUCUUCUUGUUAGAAACAAUUCUGUUUAUAAAUAUGUCUUUAAUUUUGGUAGAAGCUGGGUGGAUUCUUCACUCUUUCUCAGUAGAGCACUACAAGUACAAAGCUGAGUUAUUUGUUCUUUAUUUGGCUGCUGCUUAAUUAAACUUCUCAGUUCUAACCAAGCUUGUUAUGGAGCUCACCUGUUGAUGAGCUGGUGUUGUAAAUCCAGCUUUCAUCACAGCCUUGCAAGAUCUUGUUUGCUUGCAUCUGUAGCAUGCUUUCUAUGGUUUUAUAGAUAAAAGAGGCCAAACUUGCAGCUUUCAAGACUUUGAGAAGAGCAUGGUCAUACGUGACUACGUUUUUUCAGCUGUGAUUUCUGAGUUCAUGUGAGCGGGAGACUCCACGUGAAGAUAACUGGGAACAAACCAGCACAGAUUAAGAUUGCAGUAAGCCCUCCCAUUAAAACCAUCCAUUUUUGUCUUGGCUGUAAGUCUUCCCGUGUGUCAACCUAAUCUUUGAUCGUAUUCGCAGCAAGUAGUUGUGAUGCCACAAAGAGAAUUCUCAGUCACUUAAGGAACGAGUAGCAAGAGCUGUUGAACUUGUAUAGGUACGUAAAUCCCAGUUUCUAUGUCAAGAAUCUUGUUAAUGUAUCAAUAAGGAAAGGUGUGGAGAAGAAGGCAUGUGGGAGAAGAGCCGCACACAUGCCAGCAUUACACCUUCUCCUCCAGGGGAGAGCAAGUCGGAAAUUUUUGCCUUCCACACACAUCCUUGCUUUGAAGUGGUUCAUUUUGGCUUGAUUUGACUGCGUGGGAGACUGUGAACCCACGUUUGUGCUGACACUGUCAGCCCUCCGGUGGGUAAUGAAUCUGCUGUAGGCAGCCACCACAGCUCUGCCCCAAAACGUGUUCAAAACAUCAAUCACGGGGAUUACACAAUGUAUUUCAUAGCUAUUUACAUGCAGGAAUUUCACCAGCUGGGUUAAUCUUGUAGAAGCAAGUACAAUUAGAUGAUAUUUUAUAUGUAUUAUAAAGGCAGAGCCACAGGGCUCUGCACCAAGCUCCACUCUCGUAAACAGCAGCGUAAAUGCAGAGCAAGUCCCCCAAUCUCAGUGGAGAUUACAUCAAAGCUGAGCAAGGAUUCACAUUCUAGGUUGCUCCUCACUGCCUAUACACAGCCUUCUGCAUUGCCUAAACUGAACCCAGGCUGCCUUGUUUCUGGCAGCUUAAGGGAACAGUUACCAAACUGUAUACAUAUAUAUAUGUGUGUUUGCAUACAUAUAUAUAAUGUGAAUGGUUAGCAAUGCUGAAAAUAGUAACCUAACACCAAGAACUUACUGGUAUGGAUUUUACAUUUCAACGAGUGCGUAUGUUCUUGUGUGUACACCUACGUGAUGUUCACACAGGAUUUUAGAGGUGUGUGUGUGAGCCCUGAAGAAAAAGAAGAUAAGGAAACUUUAGCAAAACAACAGAGAGGGAGAUGACGAGGUGAUUUCGAGGUUACUCUUACAAACUUACAGCAGUGACAAGCAACGCUCAGGAUGACUACACUGGUGAAAGUAAAAAUCGAGUUUUACAUAGUGUGAUUUGGACCUUUGACAUGACUUUUAAGUCAGUGUUCCCAUUUCCUAGUGCAGUCCUUUAAUGAGGAUAUCCUGUGGCUUGAGCAGGCCAGUCACACAGCAAGAGCUUACAGAGAACCUAUUUCUAGUUGAAUUUCCUGCAGCUAUCUGGCUGUUCACGUGACUAUCGAACCUGGAGAUCUGUCUGUCUUUCACAUUGUCCUCUUCACUGACAUUUAGAGAGUCACAGCAAUAUCAAACGCAAAUGUAGAAUUCUUAAAUAUGUUAAAUUCCUACAGGUUUCAUGAUCUUUUGUGACUAGAUGGAGGAGAAAGACCUGAAAUAGUGCUCUUACUGUGAGCUAUGGACACUGUUAUGAGACAUUAAAGGAAGCCACCCAGGAGAAGGGAAGUUUAAAUGUUCCAGUUAUAGGAAAUGCUUCAGUCAGAGCUUGCACUGUAUGAGGCAUGGAAUGCCAUUAGUC